rnacentral:lncRNA from 1 species
GCAUUUCGAGGCCCAGAGUGGGACAUAACACCGGGGAGUUUUUUGAAACUUAUUGAACUUCGAAUUGAAGACACCGAUUUGGUGCGAUGGAGACCUCAACGUGGAAGCUUCCCGGAGCUUCGUAGACUAAGCAUGAAGCAUUGCUACAAAUUACAGCAUCUCGAUUGGCCAUAUGACCACUCUUUGAUAGAGAUCAUUGAAUUAGUCGAGUGCAAUCCUUUAGUUGUCGCUUGUGCGAAGGAAUUAGAAGCCAAAUUUCCCUUUCAACUUAUCGUCAAAUCUUCUUUUGAGCUCAAGUGAUUCUGCAACUUGCCUUACACGUUAGUCUUUCUACUUUGCAAUAUCAAGUCUUAAUGUUUUGUUACAGUCACAGUGUUUGAGAUUGUCCAUCUACCGAUUUUCAGGCAAAUGAGAGAGCCGAUCGAAGGGGUCAGACACCGCGUUAUCCCAUAAUUUCGAUUCAUGUUGCAUUACCACAUAUUGUCGUAUGUAUUUAAGGAUUGUGAUUUGUAUUGGAUUUUGUUGAUGAUUAUGAAACCUGAGUGCUGAAUUGUGUUUGUAACCAAACUUGUUUUAAGCUGGAUUUGUGUGAAAACAUUAGUCCCUCCAGGAGGUUCGAGAAGUCUCUAAGAGGCCGCGAUGUUGAACAAUGGAUGAGCCGUCGCCGCUUACCUAAAGAUCUUCGAAGGUUCUAAAUUCUUUCUCUUUCUUUCUGAUGAUCAUUGUUGAUUAUCUGUAUGAGCGUUGUCUUCUUCGAAUAACUUGAAAAAUUGCCGAAAAAUUGUGACUCGGGCUAUUAAGUGAACAACGGAGAAGUAAUGAACAUCUUAUCUUUAACAGCUCCGAAUUUUUCAACUUUCAUGCCAAUAUACUAUUUAAUUUGUGGCUUCAUAUUUCAAAUUUAUGAGAUCCCUGAGUAGAAACUCAUCAAUAUGAACAUUAAUUUGUUGAGAUGAAGUCCCUGUUGUGUAUUUGGAUGAGCUUUUUCCAAUAGUCUUAUUGUCAUUUCCAUUUUUGAGAACCUUUGUUGUUGUUGUUGUCGUCGUCUUCUUUUUGUUAUUUUUAUUUCUUUUAAGGUUUAGUUUACAUUUUCUUUAAAAUUUAAAAGUUGUUUGCUGAAGAUCAUGCCUCUUAAACUUGACAAAGCCAAAAAAAGAAUUGGGGCUGAUGACUACAGAAAAGCCAUGAUUUGUAUGAACAAAAUCAUUAUGCUAAUUAAGUUAUUUCUUCUCCAUUGUAAAUAUAUAACUGUAGGAGUUGUGAGGUUCAAAAUGUUGUUGAUUUAGCAAUGAAGUUAAUCUGAUUAAGAGCUCUUGUUGCCAAAGAAGAAAAGAAUUGAUUAAUUAUCAUUCACAAAAUUUCUGAAGCAGUUAUCAAUUAACAUAGACCAAUUGCCUCCUCAAAAACAUAGACAAAUUGGGCUUAGCAUGCAUCUUGCAAUAAGCUGUACUAUUAGGCUCGUUAGCUUGUGAACAUGUUCGUGUGUAGCAUUGUGAGCUCGGUUGCAAGGACACAUCAUAUAUAUAUCGCUACUCAUUUCCUCCUUUGUGUUGUAGGUACGAAUCGCCUUACUGGCGAGCAAUUGCAGCUAGGGAUGGCAAUGGGCCGGAUCUGGACCGGAUCCUGUUUGGUCCAGAUCUAGAUCCAUGUUUUUUAACUUAGAUCCACAUUCGGUCCAGAUCCAUUGGAUCAAAAAAAUGGGAUCCAGACCCAGAUCCAUUAGAUUCACAGGGUCUCGGGUCCAGACCCAGAUCCAUAUUAUUUUCUUUUCUAAAAUAAUUGUGACUAAAAUUAACAUUUCGAAUAAGCAAUACUUAAAUAUAUUUCCUACAUCAAAUUACAUUUAACUAUCUUCUAAUUGUCAAUUGUAAGAUCAGCUUGUUUACUUCCAUGAUUACUAGUUUACUACUCUUUCCUCCCCAUGCCAGGAUAGGUUUACUCCAGCCACAUGUGCUAAAUUGCAUAAACAUGUUUCGUGCCUAGUUUCACUUGCUAUUAGAACUAUCAAUUUAUUUGUAUGUAUAUAUAUAUAUUGUGUUUUCAUGAAAUAAAUACAUUUUACUUAUCAAAAACAUAAACAAGAAAAGAAAAAAAAUAUAAAAAUGAGCUUAAAAAAAUAUAAAAAUGAGCUUAGGGUUGGAGAAUUAAAAAUAUUACAUAUUAUUAAAAAUAAAAAUAUUAUAUAUUUAAAUAUAACCGGGUCCAUGGACCGGAUCUGGGUUUUAUAUCAACUACUCCAUAUCCGGAUCCGAUUUUUUAAAGAGUGGUCCAGAUCCGGUCCAGAUCCGCUGUGUCCAAAUUUUGCAAGGUCCAAAUCCAGAAAAAAGGGUCUGGAUCCGCGGAUCUGGACCGGGUCUCGGAUCCAUUGCCAUCCCUAAUUGCAGCUAGACCGAUCCAGAUUCCAAGAUAUAUAUAUAGAGGGUGUUCACCUAAGUUUAUUUUAAAGAGCUUAUAAGCUCUUGAAACUUAUAAGAUGUUUUAAAAGCUUAUAAAUUAACAUUUAAAGCAAAGUUGAUUCGGAGCAGCUGUGAUAAUUUUCAACGUGCUUGAAGACUUCAUCAACUGGUUGAUUGCUGAAUCUUCAUAAUUAGAAUCUUCGGUUGCUUUGUUUCUCGCUACUAUUCUUCCACACAAUUGCCUUCAAAAUCAGCAAUAGAUCGAUUUUAGCAUUACAUUAUACACAUCUUUUCAAAUCAUUUACUAAAGUUCUUGAAUGUGGCUUUGAAUGUGUCUGAAAUUGUAUCAAAAGCGCGCAGCUGCCGCCGCCGUCGAGAGGUAAGCAGAGAACUGAGAUCUAUCAUUUGUUUCGUCUGCGUUUGCUUAUUAUAUAUAAUUCCUUCUUCUUCUUCUUCUCCGUUUCUUUCUCUUUUGAUAGGCCCAGAGUGGGACAUAACACCGGGGAGUUUUUUGAAACUUAUUGAACUUCAAAUUCAAGACACCGAUUUGGUGCGAUGGAGACCUCAACGUGGAAGCUUCCCGGAGCUUCGUAGACUAAGCAUGAAGCAUUGCUACAAAUUACAACAGCUCGAUUGGCCGUAUGACCACGCUUGGAUAGAGAUCAUUAAUUUACACCAGUGCAAUCCUUUAGCUGUCGCUUGUGCCAAG